GGUGGUUUUAAUUAUCUGACCCUCAUAUAUAGAUGUAUUUUCUCUAUCCUAGUUCUUUUACUUCAGGUCCAUACAGCUAUGCUAUUCUCUUUUUGCUUUUGUGGAUCAAACAGUCUCAUUCAUCUCCUUCCUCAUGCAAGUCACUUGAACUUUUCUAUUGUGUGCCUUUGGUGGUCUUGCUGUAUGGUGUUUAAUAUUGAUCAGAGUUAUCUGUCUUAAUACUCCUGGAGAGUUUUC
rnacentral:misc_RNA from 1 species